ACUUUCCGCUUGCUUUUACAUUUAGACUUUCCUCUGAUCUCAGAAGUUAAACAUGACCAGACCUGUUAAUACUUGGAUGGAAGACCACCUGUGUAUACCAGGUGCUGAAGGCU
rnacentral:rRNA from 1 species